AGUUGUAGAAUCACUGGUGAAUAAGGGGUGGGCAAGUUCUGAUGUCAGCCGCCGCGGUAAAACCAGCACCUCGAGUGGUCAGGAGGUUUAUUGGGCCUAAAACAUCCGUAGCCGGUUGCAUAAGUUUUCGGUUAAAUCUAUGCGCUUAACGUAUAGGCCGCCGAAAAUACUGUGCAGCUAGGGAGUGGGAGAGGUACACGGUACUCGAUAGGAAGGGGUAAAAUCCUUUGAUCUAUUGAUGACCACCUGUGGCGAAGGCGGUGUACCAGAACACGUUCGACGGUGAGGGAUGAAAGCUGGGGGAGCAAACCGGAUUAGAUACCCGGGUAGUCCCAGCUGUAAACGAUGCAGACUCGGUGAUGCAUUGGCUUGUGGCCAAUGCAGUGCCGCAGGGAAGCCGUUAAGUCUGCCGCCUGGGAAGUACGUACGCAAGUAUGAAACUUAAAGGAAUUGGCGGGGGAGCACCACAAGGGGUGAAGCCUGCGGUUCAAUUGGAGUCAACGCCAGAAAUCUUACCUGGGGAGACAGCAGAAUGAAGGUCAAGCUGAAGACUUUACCAGACACGCUGAGAGGUGGUGCAUGGCCGUCGCCAGCUCGUGCCGUGAGAUGUCCUGUUAAGUCAGGUAACGAGCGAGACCCCUGCGUCUAGUUGCUACCAUUACUCUCUGGAGCAGUGGAGCGAAUUAGACGGACCGCCACAGUUAAUGUGGAGGAAGGAAGGGGCCACGGCAGGUCAGUAUGCCCCGAAACCCUAGGGCUACACGCGGGCUGCAAUGGUAUUGACAUGUGUUCCGAAUCCGAAAGGAGGAGGCAAUCAUCAAACAUAUCUCAGUUAUGACUGAGGGC
rnacentral:rRNA from 1 species